GGUGGAGGCACAUUAACAGGAUGCCGCCAUUGGCUCAUCUGCAAGACUCGAAUAAAAAGCAGUGGGUGGACUCCAAGCAUGCUCGAGGGGACGGUAACUCCCAUGGUCUUCAUGGUCUUCUUAGUAGCAUAACUGAAGUAAAAUGUAUUGGGGAAAGUCUGGAGACCUGAAUUCAGCUUUAGGGCGCCUUGUAUUGUAAGGUCAG
rnacentral:misc_RNA from 1 species